CGAGUCCGAGUCUCCACGGAGACGAAGUGGCGGUCAUCCAGCUUCCUAGAAAAGCUCUAACCACGUUAAUCUUUAGUUGCCUGUACCCGAAACCGACACAGGUAGGGGGGUAGGGAAUACCAAGGGGCGCGAGAUAACUCUCUCUAAGGAACUCGGCAAAAUGACCCCGUAACUUCGGGAGAAGGGGUACCACUGAGAAGUGGUCGCAGUGAAGAGGCCCAGGCGACUGUUUACCAAAAACACAGGUCUCCGCCAAGUCGCAAGACGAAGUAUGGGGGCUGUCGCCUGCCCAGUGCCGGAGGGUUAAGGAAGUGGGUUAGGGAUUCGUCCCGAAGCUGACGACUGAAGCCCCGGUGAACGGCGGCCGUAACUAUAACGGUCCUAAGGUAGCGAAAUUCCUUGUCGGGUAAGUUCCGACCCGCACGAAAGGCGUAACGAUCUGGGCGCUGUCUCGGAGAGAGGCUCGGCGAAAUAGGAUUGUCUGUGAAGAUACGGACUACCUGCACCUGGACAGAAAGACCCUAUGAAGCUUUACUGUAGCUUGGAAUUGGGUUCGGGCUUGGUUUGCGCAGGAUAGGUGGGAGGCGAAGAAGAUUUGCUUGUGGGUGAAUCUGAGCCAACGGUGAGAUACCACUCUAACCAGGCUAGAAUUCUAACUUCAACCCGUCAACCGGGGGAAGGACAGUUUCAGGUGGGCAGUUUGACUGGGGCGGUCGCCUCCUAAAAGAUAACGGAGGCGCACAAAGGUUCCCUCAGGCUGGUUGGAAAUCAGCCAACGAGUGCAAAGGCAGAAGGGAGCUUGACUGCGAGACCUACAAGUCAAGCAGGGUGGAAACACGGUCUUAGUGAUCCGACGGCACCGAGUGGAAGGGCCGUCGCUCAACGGAUAAAAGUUACUCUAGGAUAACAGGCUGAUCUCCCCCAAGAGUUCACAUCGACGGGGAGGUUUGGCACCUCGAUGUCGGCUCAUCGCAACCUGGGGCGGAAGUACGUCCCAAGGGUUGGGCUGUUCGCCCAUUAAAGCGGUACGUGAGCUGGGUUCAGAACGUCGUGAGACAGUUCGGUCCAUAUCCGGUGUAGGCGCAAGAACAUUGAGAGGAGUCUUCCUUAGUACGAGAGGACCGGGAAGAACGCACCGCUGGUGUACCUGUUAUCGUGCCAACGGUAAACGCAGGGUAGCCAAGUGCGGAGUGGAUAACCGCUGAAAGCAUCUAAGUGGGAAGCCCACCUCAAGAUGAGUGUUCUCAUGGAGUAGUCCAGUAAGGUCACGGGAAGACGACCCGUUGAUAGGCGGUAGGUGGAAGUUCAGCAAUGGAUGAAGCCGAGCCGUACUAACAGACCGAGGGCUUGAU
rnacentral:rRNA from 1 species